AAAAUGACGCUAUUUGAGGAGGAUUAUCUUUGAUUUAUGUGUUUUCAAAUUAGUUGUAUUUGCCUUCUUAUUCUAGCAAAAUUCAAAAAGGGACACUGUGUUUUUUUUUAAUGCCAUACUAUAUGGAACUAAAAGUAUUAUUAUGGGUUGUCAUACAAGAAAACCAAGAUGAAUCUGAGGAAGGAAUCCAAACACAACUAACAGUCUAAAUAUCAAGGAUCCCUAUGAGGUAUUACACUCUCG
rnacentral:lncRNA from 1 species